CGACCGGCGCACGGGUGAGUAACGCGUAUCCAACCUGCCUUACACUCUUGGACAGCCUUCUGGAAAGGGAGAAUUAAUAAAAGAUGUUAUCAUGAGGUAGGCUAUUUUCGCAUGAUUAAAGGUUUACCGGUGUAAGAUGGGGAUGCGUUCCAUUAGAUAGUAGGCGGGGUAACGGCCCACCUAGUCUUCGAUGGAUAGGGGUUCUGAGAGGAAGGUCCCCCACAUUGGAACUGAGACACGGUCCAA
rnacentral:rRNA from 1 species